UGACGGCCAUAUCACGUUGAAACACCGGUUCUCGCUAGAUCACCGAAGUAAGGCAAUAUUAUGCUUGGUUAGUACUGAUAUGGGUGAACCCUUGAGAGUACCAGCUACUGUAA